rnacentral:rRNA from 1 species
AGUGAACGCUGGCGGCGUGCCUAAUACAUGCAAGUCGAACGAUGAAGUCCUAGCUUGCUGGGAUUGAUUAUUGGCGCACGGGUGAGUAAUAUAUAUUUAAUCUGCCCUACACAGAGGAACAACAGUUGGAAACGACUGCUAAGACCUCAUACUCCUAUUUGACAUAAGUUAAAUAGGGAAAGUCUGUUCGUUGUAGGAUUAGACUAUAUCGUAUCAGCUAGGUGGUAAGGUAAUGGCUUACCAAGGCUAUGACGCGUAACUGGUCUGGGAGGAGAGUCAGCCACCUUGGACCUGAGGCACCGUCCAAAAUCCUACGGGAGGGAGCAGUAAGGAAUACUACGCAAUGGGGGAAACCCUGAAGCAGCAACGCCGCGUGGAGGACGACACUUUUCGGAGAGUAAAAUCCUUUUAUCAGGAAAGAAUAAUGACGGUACCUGAUGAAUAAGCACCGGCUAACUCCGUG